rnacentral:tRNA from 1 species
GUAGCUCAGCUGGUUAGAGCACAACACUCAUAAUGUUGGGGUCACAGGUUCGAAUCCCGUC